AGGUGCGAUCAUACCAGCACUAAUGCACCGAAUCGCAUGAGACCUCCGUAGUUAAUCGUGCUUAGGAGAAAGUGGUACUUGGAUGGGUGACCUCCUCGGAAGUCCUCGUGUUGCACCUC
rfam:Lupinus angustifolius cultivar Tanjil contig_1834, whole genome shotgun sequence.